AGAGUUUGAUCCUGGCUCAGAACGAACGCUGGCGGCGUGCUUAAUACAUGCAAGUCGUGCGAGAAAAAGGGGGCAACUCCUUGAGUAAAGCGGCGCACGGGUGAGUAACACGUAAGCAACCUUCCCUUAAAUUCAGGAUAACCUUGCCAACGCAGGGCUAAUACCGGAUGUGAUUUAGGAGACACAUGUUUUUUAAAUUAAAGAGGGCCUCUACUUGUAAGUUCUCGUUUAGGGAUGGGCUUGCGGCCCAUUAGCUAGUUGGCAGGGUAAUGGCCUACCAAGGCAAUGAUGGGUAGCCGACCUGAGAGGGUGAUCGGCCACAAUGGGACUGAGAUACGGCCCAUACUCCUACGGGAGGCAGCAGUAGGGAAUUUUGCGCAAUGGACGAAAGUCCGACGCAGCAACGCCGCGUGAGGGAUGACGGCCUUCGGGUUGUAAACCUCUGUUGGAUGGGAAAAGGUCUUUGGGUUAAUACCUCAGAGAUCUGACGGUACCAUUCGAGUAAGCUCCGGCUAACUACGUGCCAGCAGCCGCGGUAAUACGUAGGGAGCAAGCGUUGUUCGGAAUCACUGGGCGUAAAGGGAGCGUAGGUGGGAGGAUAAGUUAGAAGUUAAAUGUGCAGGCUUAACCUGUAAUCUGCUUUUAAGACUGUCUUUCUUGAGUAUUGGAGAGGGAAACGGAAUUCCAGGUGUAGCGGUGGAAUGCGUAGAUAUCUGGAAGAACACCAGCAGCGUAGGCGGUUUCCUGGCCAAAUACUGACACUGAGGCUCGAAAGCUAGGGGAGCAAACAGGAUUAGAUACCCUGGUAGUCCUAGCCGCAAACGAUGGAUACUAGUUAUUGGAGGAGUCAAUCCUUUCAGUGACGAAGCUAACGCAUUAAGUAUCCCGCCUGGGGAGUACGCUCGCAAGGGUGAAACUCAAAGGAAUUGACGGGGGCCCGCACAAGCGGUGGAGUAUGUGCUUUAAUUCGAUGCAACGCGAAGAACCUUACCUGGGUUUGACAUGGGGAUGUAAAUUUCCAGAGAUGGAGAUCCUUCCUUCGGGAACAUCCUACACAGGUGCUGCAUGGUUGUCGUCAGCUCGUGUCGUGAGAUGUUGGGUUAAGUCCCGCAACGAGCGCAACCCUCGUCCUUAGUUGCCAUCAGGUAAUGCUGGGAACUCUAAGGAGACUGCCUAGAAUAACUAGGAGGAAGGUGGGGAUGAUGUCAAAUCAUCAUGGCUCUUACGUCCAGGGCCAGACACGUACUACAAUGGUCGGUACAGCGGGAUGCAAGACUGCGAGGUCAAGCUAAUCCCUUAAAACCGAUCUCAGUUCGGAUUGGAGUCUGCAACUCGACUCCAUGAAGUUGGAAUCGCUAGUAAUCGCGGAUCAGAAUGCCGCGGUGAAUACGUUCCCGGGCCUUGUACACACCGCCCGUCAAGCCAUGAAAGAUGGGAGUACCCGAAGUCGCUAUUCUAACCCGCAAGGGAUGAAGGUGCCUAAGGUAAGACCAUUGAUUGGGGCUAAGUCGUAACAAGGUA
rnacentral:rRNA from 1 species